AUUGUUUCUGUGUAUUAUUUGUAUUUAGUAAAGGUUUAAAGGCAUAAAAUAGAAGAAAAUUUGGAAAAAUAUUUGGGGUGAAUGAGACAAUUCAGGAACAAAUACAGAAAACUAUAUUAUCUUAUAGCAAAAAGCUAUUUAAAAUAGAGAUAAGCAAACUAUAGCUCACAGGCCAAAUGUGGCCUUCUGAUUAUUUUUUGCAAAUAAAGUUUUAUUGGAACACAACAAUGUCCAUUUGCUUAUAGGUAGAAUUUCUCAACCUCAGAACUACUGAUAUUCUGGAUGAGACUUUUUUUGGGGGGUGGGGGCAGUUGUACUAUGCAUUGUAGGACGCUUAGCAGGAUCCCUGGCCUCUGCUCACCAGACGCCAGCAGCACCCACCCUUCAUACUGAAAACCAAAAAUGACUCUGGACAUUGCCAAAUGCCUACUGGGGUGUAGGUAUGAGAAACGAAAUGGCCCCUGGUUGAGAACACCUGGUUCAUGUAUUAAGCGCUUCCACACUACAAAGACAGAUGGCAGUUAAGAAAAUGCAGGCCAGGCCCGGUGGCUCACGCUUGUAAUCCCAGCACUUUGGGAGGCUGAGGCAGGCGGAUCACGAGGUGAAGAGAUUGAGACCAUCCUGGCCAACAUGGUGAAACUCCCGUCUCUACUAAAAAUACAAAAAUUAGCUGGGUGUGGUGGUGGGCACCUGUAGUCUCAGCUACUCAGGAGGCUGAGGCAGGAGAAUCGCUCCAACCAGGGAGGCAGACGUUGCAGUGAGCUGAGAUUGCACCACUGCAAUCCAGCCUGCCGAGAGUGAGACUCUGUCUCAAAAAAGAAAAGAAAAGAAAAGAAAAUUGAAGGCACUUUUUCUUUUCCUUCACCCAACAUAAAAAAAAGUUCAGUCCUGGUUGAAUUUGUCAGGAAAUGGACAUAAAUUCCCAUUAAGAUGAAUGAUUUCAGACAAUAAUAAGGCCUUAAUGAAUAUAUUUUAAAUCCACUAUGUUGUAAGGCAAGGAAUUCAACUGGUAGGACUCCACCUACUUUAUUGAUAUAAAAGUACAACAUGCAACAAUAUAUGUACAGCAAAAUUGUUUGGUGUAUAAUUAUUGGUAAAAUAACUUGAAUUUUUUGUUUCUUGAGACAGGUCUCACCCUGUCAACCAGGCUGGUGUGCAGUGGUGCAAUCUUGGCUCACUGCAGCCUGAACCUCCUGGGCCCAAGCUAUUCUCCACCCUGAACCUCCCAAGUAGCUGAGACUACAGGUGCUCACCACCACACUUGACUUUUUUUUUUUUUUUUUUUUACUUUUUAUAGAGACAGGGUUUUACCAUGUUGCCCAGGCUGAUCUCAAAUUCCUGGGCUCAAGCCAUCCACCUGGCUCAGCCUCCCAAAGUGCUGGGAUUGCAGGCAUGAGCACCAUGCCUGGCCCCAAUCUGAACUUUCAUUAGUGGAAAAAUGGGCUGCAUAUGGUUUGUCUAUAGAAUAGUCCUUUAUCUGCAGGGUACAUGUUCCACGAUCCCCAGUGGAUGCCUGAAACUGUAUAGAGUACUGUACCCUACAUAUACUAUGCUUUUUCCUAUUCAUACAUACCUAUGAUAAAACUUAUAAGUUAACUAAUAGCCAAUAAUAGAACAAUUAAAACAAUAUACUGUAAAACCAGGGAUAAGGGGGAACUACUCCAUUAUGUAAGAAUUUCAAGCUAGUUUGAUCUACAGGUAUUAAUUUGAAGGAUGUCCCUGGUAUGUUACCAAGUGAGGAGAGGAGAUGACACUUCAAUGUGUAUGCACGAUGUCAUUCAAACUACUCUCCCCAACCUGAAACCUCCUAUGGUACCAAAACAAAUCUAGCUGUGGGUAUGCUUCUUCAGUGUGGGCAAAGCAUGGAAGCAUACACAUCAGGUUUUUUUUUUUUUUUUUUU
rnacentral:lncRNA from 1 species